CCUACGGGAGGCAGCAGUGAGGAAUAUUGGUCAAUGGGCGUAAGCCUGAACCAGCCACGUCGCGUGAAGGAUGACGGCUCUAUGGGUUGUAAACCUCUUUUAUAAAGGAAUAAAGUGCGGCACGUGUGCCGUUUUGUAUGUACUUUAUGAAUAAGGAUCGGCUAACUCCGUGCCAGCAGCCGCGGUAAUACGGAGGAUCCGAGCGUUAUCCGGAUUUAUUGGGUUUAAAGGGUGCGUAGGCGGGAUGUUAAGUCAGAUGUGAAAGUUUGUGGCUCAACCAUAGAAUUGCAGUUGAAACUGGCAGUCUUGAGUAUGGGUGAGGCAGGCGGAAUGCGUGGUGUAGCGGUGAAAUGCGUAGAUAUCACGAAGAACUCCGAUUGCGAAGGCAGCCUACUAAACCAUAACUGACGCUGAUGCACGAAAGCGUGGGUAUCAAACAGGAUUAGAUACCCUGGUAGUC
rnacentral:rRNA from 1 species